rnacentral:rRNA from 1 species
UACAGAGGUCCCAAGCGUUGUUCGGAUUCACUGGGCGUAAAGGGUGCGUAGGCGGUCGGGUAAGUCUGAUGUGAAAUCUCUCAGCUUAACUGUGAAACUGCAUUGGAUACUAUCCGGCUCGAGGAAUGGAGGGGAGACUGGAAUACUUGGUGUAGCAGUGAAAUGCGUAGAUAUCAAGUGGAACACCAGUGGCGAAGGCGAGUCUCUGGACAUUUCCUGACGCUGAGGCACGAAAGCCAGGGGAGCAAACGGG